rnacentral:tRNA from 1 species
GGGGAAUUAGCUCAAAUGGUAGAGCGCUCGCUUUGCAUGCAAGAUGUAGUUGGAUCAAUACCCACAUUCUCCA